CUGAGUAUAAGAAAGUGAAAUGCAACCCGGAUCCUUGCUGCUAAAGUAGAGUAGAUAUAAAACAAAAAAAACUCAUAGGGACUUCGUCCUCACUUACAAAACUUGGGAAAGCCAUAAUAAGCUUGUGUAUGGUUUUUGGAGUCCAAUAUGACAAGAUUGGUGUGUAUGACUGAGUAUAAGAAAGUGAAAUGCAACCCGGAUCCUGGCUGCUAAAGUAGAGUAGAUAUAAAAC
rnacentral:lncRNA from 1 species